rnacentral:lncRNA from 1 species
AAAAAGGGAGUGUCCUAUCUGAGGAUCAACCAUACCUUAUCCCUCAUGAGAGAUCGGAAACCACAAAUCCCAAAUGGUUGUCCCUAGCCAACCAAGGAACGAGGCAAUUACAACCCCUUCAAGUCAAACGAACGGAUGUCACACGAUUUGUUCCAACAAAAUAAAUACGAAAGAUAGAAAGAAAAAAGAACCCUCUAAGUCGAAAAACUCGAAAACGAGUGACUUAAGCAAAAAUUAGGGCAUCCCUGUGGAUUGCAAAUCUGAAUCAAUCCAGCAAAAGUAGGGAAAUAAAAAAAACAAAGCAGAAAGAGGAAUA